rnacentral:SRP_RNA from 1 species
UCCAGGCGUCGUGGUGUGUGCCUGUCGUCCCAGCUAUCGGGAGGCUGAGGCUGGAGGAUCGCUUGAGCCCAGGAGUUGUAGGCUGUAGUGCGCUAUGCUGAUCAGGUGUCUGCACUAGGUUCGGCAUCAAUAUGGUGACCUCCUGGGAGUGGGGGACCACCAGGUUGCCUAAGGAGGGGUGAGCCGGCCCAGGUCGGAAAUGGAGCAGGUCAAAACUCCUGUGCUGAUCAGUAGCAGGAUCGCGCCUGUGAAUAGCCACUGCACUCCAGCCUGGGCAACAUAGCAAGACUCCGUCUCU